rnacentral:rRNA from 1 species
UGUUGCGGUUGAAAAUCUCGUAGUUGGAUUUAUGCUAUGCUGGUACAGUCGACCCCCUGGGUAGGACUUGUAUUGUUGCAUUGCACAUUGUAGAAUUUUUGUACGUUUUUCAGUAAAUGUGCAGAAUGCUGCUUAGUUACUUUGAGGAAAGUGGAGUGUCACACGCAGGUUGCGCCGUGAACAUGCUAGCAUGGCAUGACGCUGUAUGACUACGAGUCUUUUUGAAUGGUUUCGGGACACGUGGUAAUGAUUGAUAUGAGGUGUUGGGGAUACUCAUAUUUGACAGUUAGAGGUGAAAUUCUUGGAUUUGUCAAAGAUGA